GUAGGGGGCAAGCGUUAUCCGGAUUUACUGGGUGUAAAGGGAGCGUAGACGGAGCAGCAAGUCUGAUGUGAAAACCCGGGGCUCAACCCCGGGACUGCAUUGGAAACUGUUGAUCUGGAGUGCCGGAGAGGUAAGCGGAAUUCCUAGUGUAGCGGUGAAAUGCGUAGAUAUUAGGAGGAACACCAGUGGCGAAGGCGGCUUACUGGACGGUAACUGACGUUGAGGCUCGAAAGCGUGGGGAGCAAACAGGAUUAGAUACCCUGGUAGUCCACGCCGUAAACGAUGACUACUAGGUGUCGGGUGGCAAAGCCAUUCGGUGCCGCAGCCAACGCAAUAAGUAGUCCACCUGGGGAGUACGUUCGCAAGAAUG
rnacentral:rRNA from 1 species